AGCUUCAACCGCUCUAAGUAAGGUUGUAAAAGUACAUGAAAUGUCACCUUACCAGGCGAGUCUAAGUAGAA
rnacentral:sRNA from 1 species